UGGGGAAUAUUGCGCAAUGGGGGAAACCCUGACGCAGCGACGCCGUGUGAGGGAAGAAGGCUUUCGGGUCGUAAACCUCUGUCAGGAAGGAAGAACCUCUCAAGGCUGAACAAGCCUUGGGACUGACGGUACUUCCAGAGGAAGCACCGGCUAACUCCGUGCCAGCAGCCGCGGUCAUACGUAGGUGGCAAGCGUUGUCCGGAAUUAUUGGGCGUAAAGCGCGCGCAGGCGGGAUAUCAAGUCUAUCUUAAAAGUGCUGGGCUCAACCCAGUGAGGGGAUGGAAACUGGUAUUCUUGAGUGUCGGAGAGGAAAGUGGAAUUCCCAGUGUAGCGGUGAAAGGCGUAGAUAUUGGGAGGAACACCAGUGGCGAAGGCGACUUUCUGGACGAUGUCUGACGCUGAGGCGCGAAAGCCAGGGAAGUGAACG
rnacentral:rRNA from 1 species